GACGAACGCUGGCGGCAGGCCUAACACAUGCAAGUCGAACGAGUGGCGGACGGGUGAGUAAUGUCUGGGAAACUGCCCGAUGGAGGGGGAUAACUACUGGAAACGGUAGCUAAUACCGCAUACCAUCGGAUGUGCCGCGAUGGGAUUAGCUAGUAGGUGGGGUAAUGGCUCACCUAGGCGACGAUCCCUAGCUGGUCUGCGCGGAUGACAAGCCACACGGGAACUGAGACACGGUCCAGACGCCUACGUGAGGCAGCAGUGGGGAAGAUUGCGCAAUGGGCGAAAGCCUGAUGCAGCCAUGCCGCGUGUAUGAAGAAGGCCUUCGGGUUGUAAAGUACUUUCAGCGAGGAGGCGUUACUCGCAGAAGAAGCACCGGCUAACUCCGUGCCAGCAGCCGCGGUAAUUC
rnacentral:rRNA from 1 species